GACGAACGCUGGCGGCGUGCUUAACACAUGCAAGUCGAACGGCAAGGCCCUGCUUUUGUGGUGUGCUCGAGUGGCGAACGGGUGAGUAACACGUGUGUAACCUGCUCUUGACUUUGGGAUAGCUUCAGGUAACUGGGGCUAAUACCGGAUAGGAGCUCCUGCUCCAUGGUGGGGGUUGGAAAGUUUCGGCGGUGGGGGAUGGAUUCGCGGCUUAUCAGCUUGCUAGUGGGGUAGUGGCUGACCAAGGCUGUGACGGGUACGCGGCCUGAGAGGGUGACCGGGCACAUUGGGACUGAGAUACGGCCCAGACGCCUACGGGAGGCAGCAGUGGGGAAUAUUGCACAAUGGGCGGAAGCCGGAUGCAGCAGCGCCGCGGGCGGGAUGACGGCCUUCGGGGUGUGAACCGCUUCCGCCUGUGACGAAGCGGGAGUGACGGUAAUGGGUAAAGAAGCACCGGCUAACUACGUG
rnacentral:rRNA from 1 species